UACGGAGGGUGCAAGCGUUACUCGGAAUUACUGGGCGUAAAGCGCGCGUAGGCGGCUCGGUCAGUCGGGUGUGAAAUCCCCAGGCUCAACCUGGGAACUGCGUCUGAUACUGGUUGGCUUGAAUCCGGGAGAGGGAUGCAGAAUUCCAGGUGUAGCGGUGAAAUGCGUAGAUAUCUGGAGGAAUACCGGUGGCGAAGGCGGCAUCCUGGACCGGCAUUGACGCUGAGGAGCGAAAGCUAGGGGAGCAAACGGG
rnacentral:rRNA from 1 species